rnacentral:rRNA from 1 species
ACAACCAGUUGCAUACGAUCACCGUAGUUAAGCAAGGUCGGGCCUGGUCGGUUCUUAGAUGGGUGACCGCUUAGGAAUACCAGGUACUGUAA